rnacentral:lncRNA from 1 species
AUGGUUCUUUAAGCUGUAAUGCUAUUAAAUAUUCCCAUAUCACAGCUUUUUAAAAUAAUUAGAUGUAUCUGUGAUUUCCAGAGCUUUUUCUUUCAGUCAAUGCCAUCUUAUACUUGUGGCCUUAUCUGAGCUGCCAGAAAUAUUCUUCUUUUCUUCCCACAUACUUUGGAGUCAAAGUUAUAAAACCAUGACUUUCUCCCCUUUUCUACAACUUUGAUCUUCCUAAAUCUUGAUGUCACUUAUAAAUGUAUUAUAUAGCCAUAAUGAUUGAUAUUGUUGUUUCAGUUUGACACUGGAAGAAGACGUUACACAAAAAGAAAAGAAAUCUUUCUUUUUUUUUUUUCCUAAUUUUUUUGACUGCACCUGUGACAUGUGGAAGUUUCUGGGCCAGGGGGUCAAAUUGGAGCUGCAGCUGUAGCCUAUCCUUAAUUCACUGAGCAAGGCCAGGAAUUGAACCCAAGUCCUCACAGAGGCAACACUGAACCCUUAACUUGCUGAGCCACAAUGAGAACUCCUGGAAUCUGUAUUUUUUAAAUUUUAUUUUAUUUUUUGCUUUUUAGGGCUGCACCCACAGCAUAUGGAGGUUCCCAGGCUAGGGGUCAAAUUGGAGCUGUAGCUGCCAGCCUCUGCCACAGCCACAGCAACACAGGAUCCAAGUCUCAUCUGCAGUCUGCAACAUAGCUCAUGGCAAUGCUGGAUCCUUAACCCACUGAGUAAGGCCAAGAUUAGAACCUUCAUUCUCAUGGAUGCUAGUCAGAUUCUGUAACCACUGAGCCAUGACGGGAACUCCAGGAAUCUGUAUUUUUUUUUUUUUGAAAAAAAAAUUUUUUUUUUUCAGAAUAAAAUACAUAUAUUUAAACACAAUUACAUUCACACAGAUUAUUAUAUCAUGGAUCUGAAGAAACAGAUUAAGUGUCUCCCUCUGGAGAAUUGGAAUCGAAAAUAAGCUGAGACAACUAAGAAAUUUAUUCUAUACUUUAUCCUAUUUUGUAUGGCUUUCAUAUUUACUAUUUAGUAUUAUCUAUUACAUUUCAAUUUUCUUUAAAAAUUAGCAUUAUAUUAAAAUUGUAUAUAUUAUGCAACUAAAAUUUAUAAAGAAAGCCUUAUAUACCAUUAAAUAUUUUAUAUAGCAUAAUAAAAAGAAUAACUUAACUGGUAAGAAUAACAAAAAUAAUACACCUUAUGAAAAUAAGUAAAAUACAAAAUGCAUAAAUUGGUUAAAAAACAGUGUAACUAUAUAAAUAUGUCCUCACAAUUUGUUACAUCUUAUUGAUUCUUCAAUAUAGGGAUUACACCAUUCUAGGUGAUGUGAUAAACAAGACAUUAUAGACCUUACAUUGUACCAUGGAGAGAAAUGUUUAUUAAUAAUACAAUUGUAGAACUGUAUUAUUUAAUUAUACAGUUGCAUUAUUUAAUUAUAAUUAUCAUAAAUUCUUUGAUGGAGAGGAAAUCAGAAUUAGAUGUAAGAAGACUUCAGCAUUCCAAGAACGAUGUCAAAUGACCCCCUUCAUGGUGGGUUAUGCACUUAUUUACUAUGAGAUAUAUUUCUUCUCCAGAGUUUCCUUGUUUGGGUAUCAAUUGCAGAUUUUUGGUUUGCAGUUAUUCUGAAGUUUUGAUAUGAGUCUAUAUGUAUAUGAGGUUGUUUUAAGUUGUUGUUCUCUUAACUGAAAGUUCAUCUCCAGUGUCCUGCAUUUGUACCUACCUCUUCUCAUGAUUUCUGAUUUUGGUGGUAUUUGUGCAUGGAUGAUUUCGUAUCUUUGCUGUAUAUAUACCUUUACUGGUGAGCCUUGUCAUUUGUGGACUUUUUGUUUCCUGUUGCUGUCUUUUCUUUUCUGCCUAGAGAAUUUCCUUUAGUAUUUGUUGUAAGGCUGGUUUAAUGUUGCUGAAUUCUCUUAGCUUUUGCUUAUCUGUGAAGGUUUUGAUUUCGCCUUCAAAUCUGAAUGAGAGCCUUGCUGGGUAGAGUAUUCUUGGUUGGAGGUUUUUUCCUUUCAUCACGUGAAGUAUAGCAUGCCAUUCCCUUCUGGCUUGCAGAGUUUCUGCUGAAAAAUCUGCUGAUAGCCUUUUUGGGGUUCCAUUGUAUGUUACUUGUUUCUUUUCCCUAGCUGCUUUCAAGAUUUUCUCUUUGUCUUUAAUUUUGGUCAGUUGGAUUAAUAUGUGUCUGGGUGUAUUCCUCCUUGGGUUUAUUUUAUAUGAUACUUGCUGGAUUUGAGUGAGUGGUUCCUUUCCCAUGUUAGGGAAGUUUUUGGCUAUUAUCUCUUGGAAUAUUUUUUCUGUCCCCUUCUCUCUCUCUUCUCCUUCUGGCACCCCAUUAUAUGGAUGUUGGUGCAUUUGAUGUUGUCCCAGAGUUCUCUGAGACUCUCUUCAUUUGUUUUCAAUCUUUUUUCUCUUUUCUGUUCUGCAUCUGUGAUUUCCACUUAUCUGUCCUCCACCUCGCUUAUUCAUUCUUCUGCCUCCUGUAUUCUGCUGUUAGCUGCUUCUAGUGAAUUUUUUAUUUCAGUUACUGUAUUUUGCAUCUCUUCUUGUUUAAGUUUUAUAUCUUGUAUCUCUUUGCUCAGUGUUUCCUGUAAGUUAUCCAUCUUUGUCUCCAGUUUAUUUCCAAUGUCUUGCAUCAUCUUCAGCAUCAACAGUCUAAAGUCUUUUUCCUGGAGGCUGAGUAUCUCCUCAUCACUUAGCUGAUUUUUCUGGAGUUUUUCCUUUCUCCCUCAUCUGAGUUAUAGUUCUCUGUCUUUUCAUUUUUAUAGGUUUUUGGUGUGGUGACCUUUUUACAGAUACAGGAGUUGUAGCCUCUCUUACUUCCGGUGUCUACCCCCCUUGUGGCUGAAGUCUGUAUGGGGGCUUGCUGUAGGCUUCCUGAUGGGAGGGGCUGAUGCCCACUGGUAGGUGGAGCUGAUUCUAAUCCCUCUGGUGGGUGAGACUUAGUCUCUGGAUGGGAUUAGAGGUGACUCUGUGCCUGAGGGGUCUUUAGAUAGCCUGUUUACUGAAGGGCAGGGCUCUGAUCCCACCUGGAUUAUUUUUUGCCCUUGGGCUUCUCAGCACUGACUGACAGGUGGGGCCAGAUUUUCCCAAAAUGGCCACCUCCAGAGAAACACAUGCUGCUGAAUAUUCCUGAAAGCUUUGCCUUCAAUGUCCACCCCUCACAAAAAGCCACAUUCACCCCUGUUUUCCCAGGAUAUCCUCUAACCAGGAAUCUAUAUUUUUAUAUUAAAUAUUUUUAGCAUUGUUUUCUAGUUUUGCAAGAUUGACUCAUUUAGUAGAGUCUGAAAAAAGGAUAAAUGUUUGUGAGGCCAAAUGGUAAUUCAUCAGACUCCUAAAAUUAUUAAAUUUUUCAAUUUUCAGUAGAGCAGUCUCCUCAAGGUGAUGCCAUUUAGAGUAUCCUGCACAUCUAAGAAUUUCUCUAUGUUCUUCGCAAGGGCUUCAUCAUCCCUCCCAGUGACCACUUAACCCCUCUGGGUUGUGGGAAUGCCCUUACUAUCUUCCAGUCUAGGCUGACCAAGUCGGACAAUAGGAUAAAAAAGAGAGUGAUCAUCACUGGGACAUGAUGAAGAGAAAUAAAAAGACCCAGACAAGUUCCUGGAGUAAGAAGUGCUAUAGUAUUAAAAUUAACUUUAUAAUUUGGAUCUUUUUGUGAUCUAUGAUGAAUCUCUUAGUAGCUAAUUCCAUCAGCAGAGGAAAAUAAUUGAUCAAUUUUAUUACAUAAAAGAGAGGGUUUACAAGAUGAUGAUAAAAUACCAAAACAAAUAUUUUACAGUGCAACAAACCAAAUCAUCACUCUUGUUUGUUCAUUAGUUAAUUUAUCAUAAAAUUAUUUUUCUUUAAUAUAGAUGUGGAGUUAGAGGCAUUUAAGUUAAAUGAUUUAGUGUUUUUUUCUCAUGUCCUUAGUUAUCUCUCAUAUUAGUGUCUUGGUUGAUUACUUUAAAAUUAUUCACUGAUUCCUUUCAUUAAAGCAUUAUUCAUAAUUAUGAUAUUUGAAAAAGUAAUACUCUCUAUUGUAGUUAAAUUAGUUUAUGUUUUAAUGGCAUAGUUUUUGUUGCCACAAGUUGUAUUUAUUAUUAACUUAACAAUGCCUAGAAAAUCUUGCUAGUAACUCCUAAUCUAGAAUUUAUAAAUGCAUUGAGAUGAAUAGAAGUCAGUAGGAGAUGGGAGACAAUGAAGAAAUUAAACAUCAUUUAAAUUAUCAGCAUUUUCUACCCGAGACUGUAAUUGAGAGAGAACGAAUGGAUCAGAAUUGAGUUACAAGAAGUAGCCUCUUACUGUUUCUAUCUCUAAAGGAUCAAACUUGAUAAGGACUCUAGAACGUUUCCUUUACAAUCUAAGGAAAGGAACUUGGGGCUCAAAGUCUCCUAAGUCACACUGGCGCUUAGGCAUUUAAUGAUCAAUAAUCAUCAGGCAUUUAGAUAAACUAAAAUGAAUGUAGCUGACUUAAUCCCAUCCCUUCAAUUCCAGAAGGUUAAACCUUUUAGAAUAACCAGAAUACUACAGCUGCAUUAAACCUUUCAAAUAUGAAGUUAGGUAUAUGGAAUUCCCAUGGAGUUCCUGUUGUGGCUCAGUAGGUUAAGAACCCAACAUAGUGUCCAUGAGGAUGCAGGUUUGAUCCCUGGCCUUGCUCAGUGGGUUGAGGAGCUGGCAUUGCUGC